GUAGGUGGCAAGCGUUGUCCGGAAUUAUUGGGCGUAAAGCGCGCGCAGGCGGUUCUUUAAGUCUGAUGUGAAAGCCCACGGCUCAACCGUGGAGGGUCAUUGGAAACUGGAGAACUUGAGUACAGAAGAGGAAAGCGGAAUUCCACGUGUAGCGGUGAAAUGCGUAGAGAUGUGGAGGAACGCCAGUGGCGAAGGCGGCUUUCUGGUCUGUAACUGACGCUGAGGCGCGAAAGCGUGGGGGAGCAAACAGGAUUAGAUAGCCUGGUAGUCCACGCCGUAAACGAUGAGUGCUAAGUGUUAGGGGGUUUCCGCCCCCCCCUUAGUGCUGCAGCUAACGCAUUAAGCACUCCGCCUGGGAGUACGGCCGCAAGGCUG
rnacentral:rRNA from 1 species